AAGAAUGGUGGCGAUGAUGCACUAUCAGUUGGUUUGGCUGUGUCAAAAAAAGCUAUCGAAGAAAAACUAUUGUGGUUGCCGCGCAUGCGUCCGUUCGGUCCUUGGUGUGCUGUGUGAAAGCUGGAGAGCUAUGGCGGCGUGCCGGGGAUCCUCUUCAAAAUGGUUUUUCACCCGGGAGCAAAUCGAAGCCACGCCGUCCCGCCGUUCGGGAGUGGAUCCGGACAAGGAGCUAUCUUACCGACAGCAGGCGGCUAACCUCAUUCAAGAUAUGGGCCAGAGACUCAACGUCUCACAACUUACAAUAAAUACAGCAAUUGUUUACAUGCAUAGAUUUUAUAUGUUCCACUCUUUCACCAAAUUCCACAGAAAUAUAAUUUCUCCAACCACCUUAUUCCUAGCUGCGAAAGUUGAAGAGCAACCUCGGAAACUUGAGCAUGUUAUUAAAGUUGCCCAUGCUUGUCUAAACCCUCAAGAGACCCCGCUUGAUACAAAGAGUAAUGCAUACCUCCAGCAAGCUCAAGAGCUGGUGAUACUUGAAACCAUAGUGCUGCAGACUUUAGGAUUUGAAAUAACUAUUGAACAUCCACACACUGAUGUGGUGAAAUGUUCCCAGCUAGUGAGAGCAAGCAAGGAUCUGGCACAGACUUCCUAUUUCAUGGCUACCAACAGGUUGUUAUCCUGACCCUCCUUUGUUGCACUGUGACUACUGCACACUAUAGCUUCCUUUAAUGCAGGGUACCCUUUCAGUGUCCAACGGCCCUCUAUGCGCCGGUGGCUACUGGGACGCCAGCCCCCUCCUUGCCCCCCCCCCGGGUUGGGGGCAUUUGGCGGUACCGGCCCCGGUUGCAGUGCGGUGUAUUGUACAAGGGACCAGAGUUGGCACAGUGGGGUUGAAUGCACAAUGUGAAGUGUAGUGGUGCGCUAGAACCUCACGUUUGCUCGGUUACAAAAGUGCAUAUGUCUAAAAAGACACUUUGGUAGCCUGAAUAGCAGCUAAAGAUUACACAGAUGUAAACAUAACGUAGAAGUCAUCCCGCCUCCACCUCACAACCUUCUGCCUGCAACACAAGCCCACAGUAAUCGCCUGCGUCUGCAUCCACCUGGCCUGUAAAUGGUCCAACUGGGAGAUCCCUGUCUCCACUGACGGGAAACACUGGUGGGAGUACGUGGACAACUCUGUCACACUGGAGCUUCUCGAUGAACUGACGCACGAGUUCCUUCAGAUUCUGGAGAAGACACCGAGCAGGUUGAAGAGGAUACGAAAUUGGAGGACCACGCAAGCUGCCAAGAAGACCAAGGGGGAUGGCUCUCAGGCAAACGACCCCUACCCAGGACCCUCCCUGAUCCACGAACAUUCCCUGGGAGAUGCCAUCCCUGGGGUCUCCAACUCAGCCUUCUCCAAAGCCGCUUCAUCGUUCCCUGUCCCUCUGCCAGGGCACGCCAGUGGGCCCCUCUCCCUGGACUCUAUCGCGUCCAUGCAGGGCAGCUCCUACACCUUCACAGCCCCCAGUGACUGGCCCCAGGAUACAGGGGGUCGCUUGGAGGGAGGAAGCUAUUCCCUCAAAACAGAUGCACUUGGCCUACAGCAGGGUGCUCCAAUGAACCCGAACAGACCCGAUAAGACAGGAGAGUUCAACCCUACUAAACAUGAACACAAGGUCGGGUCAGGGGGGGGUGUGGGGAAGCAACAGCAGCCAAUUUUCCCUCCACCGCCCCCGCCGGCUCAGAAAAUGUCCCUGGACAAGUAUAGAGAGAAGCACGCUGCUGAGCUGGCGGUGCAGCAUAAACGCAGGGCAGAGCAGCAGAGUUUCGAGCCUGAGGGCAGGGACUCAUAUAUACCCUCUGUCCAAUCAGACCACAGGAAACACAUGCAGCUCCACCCUAACCCUGGGAGCAGUAGCACCACUGCCUCCCCUCUUAAAAUGAAGCUCGCCACGCCAGGCCAGGACAAGGUCCCCUCUGACAAACGGGACAAGGGGGGCUCACUCAAACUCCGCCUUCCAGUUCCUUCUCAGGGGGGCUUGGCCAGCAAAGAGGAGCUGAAGAUGAAAAUCAAGGUGUCCUCGGAGCGCCACAGCUCUUCUGAUGAGGGCGGGGCCAAGAGCAAACAUUCCAGCCCGCUAGUGAGCAAGGAGAAGCACCGAGAACACUCAACCCACCGCCACCACCACAAGCAGCACGGCCACUCUCACCUUCAUGCAGCACAGCACAGUGGCAACGGCCGAGGGGUCCCCGAGGGGCCAACGGGGGCCGGGCCAGCCGUCCUCCGGAGACCCCUAGGGCUGGGGGGUGUUGAGGGGGUGGCGGGCAUGGCCCCUAGCUCUGGUUCCAGCUCAUCCCGCAAGAGGGGGCACCCACACGUCGCAAGCCACAACCACCACUCCUCCAAAACGAGCAAAAGCUCCAAGGGCGGCGCAGGUGGGCUACGAACAUCUCAACGCCCAAGUGAAACUGGACAAGAAGCCAGUGGAGAGCCGCAGUCUUGAGGGAGCCGGCCGGGCGUUUGCUACCAACGGGCAGACUACAAACACUUCUGACAUGCUCGAUUCUCUCAAGUGCCCAAGGAAUUAACUCAUGAACCCUUUGUAGCAAAGCAUAGGAAGGUAAAGUAAACAAUAUAACGGAAAGUGUAGGACAUCUCAACGUUUGAGGCAAAAAGAGAGAAAUGAAUGCUUCCUGAUCAUCUGAUCUUUUGGCAGUGCUGGUAUAGUCCUGCCCCUUUCAAUGUGUAAUUGCUGCUUUGUCCUCUAUAUUCUCAGGAUGGGUCAUGGAAUGCGGACGUGUGUGAGUGUUAGGGGUCAUCCGAGUUUAAAUCUCCAUGUUCGGAGGGGGAAAAAGUAUAAAUACUGAAAAGGCACGAAAGGUGCAAUUUCUAACAGUCUCUUUUAAAUAAUAAUUUAAACAGCAUUGCCAUAGCUGUUAUCCAUUCUGGUGAGAAAACAUGUCAAGUAGCCCUCCGUUGUGGCAGGAGGGGGCUUAGCUCAGACAGAAGUAAAGGCAGGCCAAACAUGGCUGCCAAUGGAAGUUGGAUUUUUAGUUGUUUAUUUCUCUUGAAUGAUUUUUUCCUUUUUAUGCUGAAUACUGUAUGUAGGAUCUGCAUGCAAUCAUCAAAGGGAUAAUGCAGAAAGCUGACCGCUGUUUACAGAAAGUAAAGAUAAAUGUACAUACAUUUUUGUAUGUUUAAAAAGCUAUACCAUAAAUACUCAGGUUUGGAGCUGCUUGUAACUAUAACAAGAUAUAUAUAUUGGGAAAAAAUACUAUUGUAACUUGAUGUAGGAGUCCUAUCAUCGGUGAUUCUGACUGACGCAUUCCUGUGUUGUGCUUAGAGCCUGUACUACACAUGGCUGGCUGCCAGGAGAUGGCACUUGAACUUCGACCUUUCCAACUCAGCCAAUCCAGACCCUACAAACAGUAACAACCACCUGGCAUGUUGUCAGAGGCCAUGCAAUUUGUACACUUCUUCUUUUUUUUUUGACUUCCAAGAUUACCUUAAGCUGGAUGCCAAAGGCUUUGCCUCACACAAACAAACUAAAGACAAACAUGAGAAGAGGACAAUAAUAAUAGUGCUAUAACGUUUACAUGCCUAACCUUUGCUGUGAAGAGCAUUUACACAAAAUUGUUACUUGGCUUGACGCUGUAGCCCAUAGAUACAAAGCUGUAGGUAAGUAAUGUAGUAUUGUUUAUGUCUGGUGAAAGAAAACAACAGCAUAAAAGUAGCCUGGGUGCCAGUCUUUCUGCUCUCUUGCCAACUCCUUAUGUAAUUGAUAUGGCUUGACAAUGGAGUAGGCAAGAGCACCAACUGAUCUGGGACCAGGCUAGCAGUUAAGGCUUUCAGUGUUGAUACAGUACGGUGGCUUGUAUGCUGUUCUCCAACGGGUCAGUUUCCUAAUAUAUAUGGAGUAUAUCGUUCUCAAUUCUGGACACACAAUAGUAACUGUUCUUUGACUGGUUAGUCCUUUAUUUCAGUGUGCAGAGAGUUUGUAUUGAGGCCAAGAUGGUAUAUUUCCCCAGUACUGAUAGUGAUUAUACUCUUGGGCACAGACAUUAUUACAGUGGUUUGGUCUCAACAAGAAGGCAAAUGCAAACCUUGACAUCCAUUUUUGGGUUUUUUUGUUCUACAAAUAAAUCUUACGGUUACCACUACCUUAAAACAUUA